rfam:Camelus ferus unplaced genomic scaffold scaffold373, whole genome shotgun sequence.
GAGGGUAUAGUUCAAGUGGUAGAGCACAGGCUUAGCAUUCACGAGGUCCUGGGUUCAAUCCCCAGUACCUCCU